CCAAAAUUAAAACUUAGUGGAUGAGUCUGGCUGAUGUUUGGACACAGCACAACAAAAAUAGUGUUUUAAUAUAGAUCAUGGGAAAUUAUCCAAAUACUAUUUAAGGAAGAAAUGGGUGAAAAAAUAGAGAAAGUAAUUCUAAGAGACAUGGAGGAUGGAGUGCAAUGUUCCCAUUGAUAUUUAUUCAGAACAUUUGAGAACUAAGAAAAUACCUAAAUCUACAGACUCAAGAAACCUAAGAAACUCAAGAAAAUUUUAAAAAGUAAAUCAACACUUGGCCCUUGCUGGUGUUACAUGAGAAAACUAAAGACAAAGAACAAAAUGUUAAAAUAAAUGUUGUGAUCAAAUGAGUAGCGGAUAGAUUGACAGCUGCUUGUCAGUAACAACAAAGCAAUCCCGGAAAGAAAAUAUUAUGCAUAGAGGAAAAGAAAAUACCUUCCAACCUGGUCUUCUAUACCUCAUGUGGUUUUUAGACUUUUGUAACUUCAUUAUGACAGGAAUUCUCUUAGACUUCAAAUCUCUGUGGUCCCUGGAUUUUGAAUUAUAUCUCCACUGCCUCAGGAUGGACAAAUAUCUUCUUGGUAAAAGCAGCUUCAGUUAUUGUGUUUACGUGUAUAGGUUCAUAAUUUCUCUGAAAAUAAUUAUCUGAUAUUCUUACUAUCUUGGCAACUGUUGAUUGGUUUCAGAAAGAGGAAAACAAACAUUUCACAAAAUAGAGAGGUAUGGGUAGAUGUAAUCACUAGACUUUGACAGAAGAGCCUUUUGCCUAAUACAUGCAAGAACUUUGAAAUUAUUGUUCUUUGCUUCCACAGUUUCAUAGCAGGGAAUCCCACAGAGAUCUCUAUAAUCUGCAGACAUCUAGACAAUGUAGAUUUUAGGAUCCUCAGAUUUUAACUUCUUUAAGAAGUUUCUAUUUUUCUACAACUGAAUAUUAGCAGUAUAUACUAUGUAAAAAAUCCCACAGGAAUAAUAAGAAAAUGUUUAAACACACUUGGUAAUAGGUAAAUAAAAGAGGAAUCUCACACUAACAGCGACAACAAAAUCAAUAUUUGCCAUUUUAAUUAGUUAAAAUUAUGCGAUUUCUUUGGUAUUAAGCCAUAUUAAAGAAAACAAAAUGAACAAAUUUGAGUAUAAAAAGUCUAUACUUAAAUACAGGAAGCAAAAGCCCGAUAGAAACACAAGGCAAUGCUAUGCGAAAAAUAUACACGUAAGCAAUAAGUAUAUGAAUGAACACUCAAUCUCACUAGAUGCUGAGAAGUGCUUCAGUGCACAUUUAAGGAGCAAGAAAAAGCAGUUUUCCCCUUCAGAUGAUGGCACAGUACAAACAAGGGAAUUUGAGGAGUUAAAAGGCAAAACCAUAGCGUGGUGCAGAGAUAACCCGAAUGUCACAGCGAGGCUGCCUGCAGCCCUGAACGCUGGAGCCCAGACACCGCGUGUAAGCGGAAGUACACCCGGAGCAUUGUGGGAACUGUAGUCCAUAACAAGUCCACCCUGGCCAUUCCGUUUCCGUUCGCCAUGGCAGAGUUCUGCGAAGUCGGCUGAACCCUAAGCCAAAGGCGACUUGUUCCACACUGUGCUAGGAGCCCUUCCUGGUCGUGAAGCUUGCAGGCGAUUUGUUCCUGGGAGUAGAAUUAAGUUUGUGGCGGGGUAGGGCGUUUAGAUCAGAAAGUUUGGGACGGCAAGUAUUUACACCGCGGGUGGCGCUGAUGACUCCUUGCUAGAGGCGAGAGCGCAUGCGCAUGCGCAUGCGCAUCCUUCCCCUGAUGGUUGGAGUGAGGUAGUGGCUGCUAAUUGGCACCGUUACCUAAAUGGGUCUUUUACUGGGUAGUGAAGACACCCAAAGUUUGCAUGGUUAAACAGGCUUUAGAAGUCUAAUGGGGAAGCUAAAGAAAGUGGUUACAUUCCUCCCAUCUUAUUAAGUAAGACCUUUGCACCCCAACUGGAAGCAAAGGUUGCUGUCUUGUGAUCUGAGUCGACCUCCUAAAGGCCAGGGUGUAGUCUGCUAAGUUUGUGUCCCUUGCCCAGCAUUUUGCAGCCACUUUGGAUACGUGAGUCUCUUGUGCACCUCAGGCAUUGCCUGCAGUGAUUCCUAGCCCUUCUAUUGUGCCUUUGUGGGUCUAGCAGUGGCUGAUCCUGUUGGGACCCUUCUGCCACGGCCAUUUGCUCCAUUCCUGAGCAGAUCUUGGUAGGCCAUUAGUUUGCAAGAGUGAUAUCCACCAGAACAGUAACCCUUUUCUCUGUAGUUUAAGUAAGUGGUCAUAAUAUAGUAAGUGAACAGAGAGUGACUUUCAUCCUCAGAGUAAAUCCUCCCUCCCCCAAGGUAGAGUUUACUCUUGGUGCACAGCCUCUGCUGUAAGACAACGUGCAUAUUCUAGAAACUGGAAGAGAAAGAAGCACCCUAAGCAGAAAGGAUAUAUUCUGAAGGGAUAUUCCUCUGACCUGAGACGUCUUGCAGCAAAUUAAGGGGAGAAUUUAGAGUUACCAAAGCAGUGAAACUGAGAUUCCCUGGUCUGCAUUCUUUCUGGACUUUCUGGCUCAGGAAGAGGAUGGUUUGAGAGACCGCCCCACAACCAUAAAGAGGAGACAAUGGACAGCUACACACUAAAGCCUGAGUCAGCAGGUGAAAGUUUCAGAAGAGUUUGGGUGGAAAAAGGAGCAAAAGAACUUUCAAGCUCUGCCUAGUCUACGCUUCCCCUAGAGAAGGCCAUGAGCCUGAUACAGACUAAAGCAGUGAUAAAAAAAAAGUCUUCUAAA